AAGCAUCCAAUAAAAUCUGGAAUAAUGGAGAUCACUCGAGAGGAAUCGUACAACAGCCAGAUAAACUUCUUUGGAUCUUUCAAGUCCACCAUCUAACCUAAAAAGAACAAUUACAGCGCACAUGCAGCAACAGUAAUGAAAUCAAUUUGGUCCAUGGUUGUAGAAGAUAGAUGGGCCUAGAUAUAAAAUAUGGGCUACGUUUGGUUCGCAAUCGAGAUCGGAAUCAGAGUGAUCUUAUUUUUCAACCGGUUUGAUUUGUGAUUGGAAUCGAGAUCCGAAUAUAAUUUGAAUACUGGAUAAGAAUCUGGAUUGGAUUUGAAACAUUCCAAAAUUUUCAUCCUCCGGUGGAAUAAGAAUAAAAAUGAAAUAUCCCCAAAGCAGAUGGCUAGAAUUGGAGUUAUCCAUUUUGAUUUUCAGUCCACAGUCCAACUCAACAUGCUUACAGUUCAAUUUUCAAUCAAUUCGAUUUGUGACUGAAAUCAGAAUCGGAAUCAGUAUAUUAUCUGAUAAGAAUCUGAAUUCGAUUUCAGCCGAUUCUGACAUUUUCAUUUCCUAUUGGAAUCCGAAUAAAAAUGAGAUUCUCCUAAAUCUUGAAAGUUAUUCGUGAUCAUUUCCAUUCCAGAGUUCCCCUCAACAUACCUAC
rnacentral:lncRNA from 1 species